GCCGGCUUUCCAUCAGCCGGGGUUACUGUAGAGGCACACCCUCAUUGCCGGAAGUGCGGUCGGGUUCAUCCCCCCAAUCCAAGGCAGACAAAGCGGAGCGCAACGCCCUGGCAGGCGUCGUUCCACCACUUCGCG
rnacentral:ncRNA from 1 species